rnacentral:rRNA from 1 species
AUUGAACGCUGGCGGCAGGCCUAACACAUGCAAGUCGAGCGGAUGAAGGGAGCUUGCUCCUGGAUUCAGCGGCGGACGGGUGAGUAAUGCCUAGGAAUCUCCCUGGUAGUGGGUUAUAACGUCCGGAAACGGGCGCUAAUACCGCAUACGUCCUGAUGGAGAAAGUGGGGGAUCUUCGGACCUCACGCUAUCAGAUGAGCCUAGGUCGGAUUAGCUAGUUGGUGGGGUAAAGGCCUACCAAGGCGACGAUCCGUAACUGGUCUGAGAGGAUGAUCAGUCACACUGGAACUGAGACACGGUCCAGACUCCUACGGGAGGCAGCAGUGGGGAAUAUUGGACAAUGGGCGAAAGCCUGAUCCAGCCAUGCCGCGUGUGUGAAGAAGGUCUUCGGAUUGUAAAGCACUUUAAGUUGGGAGGAAGGGCAGUAAGUUAAUACCUUGCUGUUUUGACGUUACCAACAGAAUAAGCACCGGCUAACUUCGUG